rnacentral:rRNA from 1 species
CCCUUAGAUGUUCUGGGCCGCACGCGCGCUACACUGUUCGACGCAGCGAGUCUUAACCUUGACCGAAAGGUUUGGGUAAUCUUCAGCAAAGUCGAACGUGAUGGGGAUCGAUCAUUGCAAUUAUUGAUCGUGAACGAGGAAUUCCUAGUAAGUGCAAGUCAACAGCUUGCGUUGAUUACGUCCCUGCCCUUUGUACACACCGCCCGUCGCUACUACUGAUUGGAUGUUUAAGCGAGGUUCUCGAACUGCUAGCGACUUAGCUUCGGUGAGGUCGCAGUGUGGGAAGUGAACCUAGCUUUGGUGUCUAGAGGAAGUAAAAGUCGUAACA